rnacentral:rRNA from 1 species
CCUCCUUUCUUCCUCCUUGCGGCAUCUUGGUCAAUGGGCGCGAGCCUGAACCAGCCAAGUCGCGUGAGGGAAGACGGUCCUAUGGAUUGUAAACCUCUUUUGUCGGGGAGCAAAAGACGCCACGCGUGGCGUUCCGAGAGUACCCGAAGAAAAAGCAUCGGCUAACUCCGUGCCAGCAGCCGCGGUAAUACGGAGGAUGCGAGCGUUAUCCGGAUUUAUUGGGUUUAAAGGGUGCGCAGGCGGAAGAUCAAGUCAGCGGUAAAAUUGAGAGGCUCAACCUCUUCGAGCCGUUGAAACUGGUGUUCUUGAGUGAGUGAGAAGUAUGCGGAAUGCGUGGUGUAGCGGUGAAAUGCAUAGAUAUCACGCAGAACUCCGAUUGCGAAGGCAGCAUACCGGCGCUCAACUGACGCUCAUGCACGAAAGUGUGGGUAUCGAACAGGAUUAGAUACCCCUGUAGUC